UACGUAGGGGGCUAGCGUUGUCCGGAUUUCUUGGGCGUAAAGAGCGUGUAGGCGGCCAGGUAGGUCUGCUGUGAAAACUCGAGGCUCAACCUCGAGACGUCGGCGGAAACCAUCUGGCUAGAGUCCGGAAGAGGAGAGUGGAAUUCCUGGUGUAGCGGUGAAAUGCGCAGAUAUCAGGAAGAACACCCGUGGCGAAGGCGGCUCUCUGGGACGGUACUGACGCUGAGACGCGAAAGCGUGGGGAGCGAACAGG
rnacentral:rRNA from 1 species